GUUGUUAUCAAUUGAUUUCAAUCGUUGCUACUUUAUUUACUCUCCACCCUUCUUCGCGAAAGAAAACCACUCGAAAAUGGGAAGCCAGCCCACUCCCACCCUCGAUGAGCUUCUCAAGGAGUUGCGAGAUGCAGCAAACCGAGAAGCUGCCCCAGAAGCUGCCCUCGAAGAAAAUUAAUGAGUACUUUAAACGUUUAAAGAGAAUUGGCACUAAUAGGGGAACUCCCGAAACCUUUGAGGCAGGUAUUGUUGUAGGCGGCCUCACACAACACAGUUCCUCUGACGUCAGUGAGUUGGCCCUCUCUAUUCUUAGAGAACUGAGAACAACACAGAGGCCACCCAACAAAUGAUCAGAGCGAACCGUCACCAAUGAUGAUGUCAACCCCGUUGAUUUCGGCCAGUCUGAUUACUUCAUUGGGAACUUGCUUGUGGGUGACCGUGUAGGGUGUGGAGAUGAGUGUGAUGAAGGAUUGCCAAUUUCUGGAUUCAUCGUUUGUAGUUGAAUAUGUAGCGUUUAAGUAAUGUUGUAUCAAUUUCAAAUGUUCCUUGUACUUCAUU